GAUGAACGCUAGCGGCAGGCUUAAUACAUGCAAGUCGUGGGGCAGCGCAGUGUAGCAAUACAUGGGCGGCGACCGGCAAACGGGUGCGUAACACGUACGCAACCUUCCCGUUACUGGGGAAUAGCCCAGGGAAACUUGGAUUAAUACCCCAUAUUAUAUUGAUUGGGCAUCUAAUUAAUAUCAAAGCUUCGGCGGUAACGGAUGGGCGUGCGGUUGAUUAGGUAGUUGGCGGGGUAACGGCCCACCAAGCCUACGAUCAAUAGCUGAUGUGAGAGCAUGAUCAGCCACACGGGCACUGAGACACGGGCCCGACUCCUACGGGGGGCAGCAGUAAGGAAUAUUGGGCAAUGGACGAAAGUCUGACCCAGCCAUGCCGCGUGGAGGAUGAAGGUCCUCUGGAUUGUAAACUUCUUUUUUCUGGGGCGAAAACCGGUUUUUCUAAACCAUUUGACAGUACCAGAAGAAUAAGCACCGGCUAACUCCGUGCCAGCAGCCGCCGUAA
rnacentral:rRNA from 1 species